CAAUAGCGUAUAUUAAAGUUGUUGCAGUUAAAAAGCUCGUAGUUGGAUUUCUGGUUGAAGCGACUGGUCGGGCGUUGAUUCGUCUGCACUGGAGUCGGUUUUGGCCAUCCUCUAGGAAAGUGCGUCUGGUAUUAAGUUAUCGGGCGUAUGAUCCUGGUCUUUUACUGUGAAAAAAUUAGAGUGUUUAAAGCAGGCCUUCGCCUUGAAUACAUUAGCAUGGAAUAAUAAGAUAGGACUUUGGUCUAUUUUGUUGGUUUGCAGACCGAAGUAAUGAUUAAUAGGGAUAGUUGGGGGUAUUUAUAUUCCGAUGUCAGAGGUGAAAUUCUUAGAUUUUCGGAAGAUAAACUUAUGCGAAAGCAUUUACCAAGGAUGUUUUCAUUAA
rnacentral:rRNA from 1 species